rnacentral:rRNA from 1 species
UACGGAGGGUGCAAGCGUUAUCCGGAUUCACUGGGUUUAAAGGGUGCGUAGGCGGGUAGGUAAGUCAGUGGUGAAAUCCUGGAGCUUAACUCCAGAACUGCCAUUGAUACUAUCUAUCUUGAAUAUUGUGGAGGUAAGCGGAAUAUGUCAUGUAGCGGUGAAAUGCUUAGAUAUGACAUAGAACACCAAUUGCGAAGGCAGCCUACUACACAUAUAUUGACGCUGAGGCACGAAAGCGUGGGGAUCAAACAGG